AUGGUGCCGCUGCUUGUUGUGCAAUGCCGACCCACAUGAGCGAGAAACGACGCCUUGACUGCUGGCGAACUG
rnacentral:snoRNA from 1 species